ACGCUCGACACCUACGGGGAGGCAGCAGUGGGGAAUAUUGCACAAUGGGGGAAACCCUGAUGCAGCGACGCCGCGUGAGCGAAGAAGUAUUUCGGUAUGUAAAGCUCUAUCAGCAGGGAAGAAACUGACGGUACCUGACUAAGAAGCGCCGGCUAAAUACGUGCCAGCAGCCAACGGUAAUCUGGAGGCGGGCGUGGACGAAGGC
rnacentral:rRNA from 1 species